rnacentral:rRNA from 1 species
GACAGAGGUCCCGAGCGUUAGGCGGAAUCACUGGGCUUAAAGCGUGUGUAGGCGGAUCGUUAAGUGCCUUGUGAAAUCCCAUGGCUUAACCAUGGAACUGCUCGGUAUACUGCUUUUCUUGAGCCACUUAGGGGCUACCGGAACAAAUGGUGGAGCGGUGAAAUGCGUAGAUAUCAUUUGGAACGCCAAUGGUGAAAACAGGUAGCUGGGAGUGUGCUGACGCUGAGACACGAAAGCCAGGGGAGCGAACGGG